UACGUAGGGGGCAAGCGUUGUCCGGAUUUAUUGGGCGUAAAGAGCGUGUAGGCGGCCAUACAGGUCCGUUGUGAAAACUGGAGGCUUAACCUCCAGACGUCGAUGGAAACCGUAUGGCUAGAGUCCGGAAGAGGAGAGUGGAAUUCCUGGUGUAGCGGUGAAAUGCGCAGAUAUCGUAAGGAAGACCAGUGGCGAAGGCGGGUCUCUGGACAGUUCCUGACGCUGAGGCACGAAGGCCAGGGGAGCAAACGGG
rnacentral:rRNA from 1 species